rnacentral:rRNA from 1 species
AUUGAACGCUGGCGGCAUGCCUUACACAUGCAAGUCGAACGGCAGCACGGGAGCUUGCUCCUGGUGGCGAGUGGCGAACGGGUGAGUAAUACAGCGGAACGUGCCCGGUAGUGGGGGAUAGCCCGGCGAAAGCAGGAUUAAUACCGCAUACGACCUACGGGGGAAAGCGGGGGACCGUAAGGCCUCGCGCUAUUGGAGCGGCCGAUGUCUGAUUAGCCUGUUGGUGGGGUAAAAGCCCACCAAGGCGACGAUCAGUAGCUGGUCUGAGAGGACGAUCAGCCACACUGGGACUGAGACACGGCCCAGACUCCUACGGGAGGCAGCAGUGGGGAAUUUUGGACAAUGGGGGCAACCCUGAUCCAGCAAUGCCGCGUGUGCGAAGAAGGCCUUCGGGUUGUAAAGCACUUUUGUCAGGGAAGAAAUCUUUCAGGCUAAUACCCUUGGAAGGAUGACGGUACCUGAAGAAUAAGCACCGGCUAACUACGUGCCAGCCGCCGCGGUAA